rnacentral:lncRNA from 1 species
AGGAGAAUGAGGCAAGCCAAGCUGUGAGGAGUCUGUGGGUCAUGGCUUUGGCAGCGUGGAACCUGGGACAUAGAGUCCCCCUUGAUACGGCUGUUCAGCAGACCAACUUUGUUGUAAAUAUUUAGAUAAAAAUGGGCUUUAGAGCAGCCACAUCUGAAGACCCACAAGGCUGAAUGUUACACAGGCAAUCAGAAUCUGAUUGAAGAUAAACUCAUCCUAUUUGGAUCAGAGCAUUAGAAGAAAGAAAGAACUGACACUUCUCAACCUUCUCUAGUUGAAGACUUCUCUUUGCUAUAACUACUUGAAGAGUUCAGCAGAAAAAUUUUACUGAAGAAUCCCUGAUCCUCCUUUAAGUAGCUGUAGAGAAUAUUCACUAAGUGUAAUGGGACACGUCUCUCUCAUGCCCACUUCUUUUCUCUUAUCCCUGCAAGAAAAUGAAGUUUUGUUGGAGUCAGA